UUUUUACGGAGAGUUUGAUCCUGGCUCAGGACGAACGCUGGCGGCGUGCUUAACACAUGCAAGUCGAACGAUGAAGCCCAGCUUGC
rnacentral:rRNA from 5 species